rnacentral:rRNA from 1 species
UACGAAGGGGGCUAGCGUUGUUCGGAAUUACUGGGCGUAAAGCGCACGUAGGCGGAUUUGUAAGUCAGGGGUGAAAUCCCGGGGCUCAACCUCGGAACUGCCUUUGAUACUGCAAGUCUCGAGUCCGGAAGAGGUGAGUGGAAUUCCGAGUGUAGAGGUGAAAUUCGUAGAUAUUAGGAAGAACACCAGUGGCGAAGGCGGCUCACUGGUCCGGUACUGACGAUGAGGUGCGAAAGAGUGGGGAGCAAACAGG